rnacentral:tRNA from 1 species
GUUUUAAUAAUUUAAUAAAAAUUUUGGUCUUGUAAACCAAACAUAAGAUACCUUCUUUUAAAGCA